rnacentral:rRNA from 1 species
UACGUAGGGUGCUAGCGUUGUUCGGAAUUACUGGGCGUAAAGCGCGCGUAGGCGGACCUGCAAGUCGGGGGUGAAAGCCCGAGGCUCAACCUCGGAACUGCCUUCGAUACUGCGGGUCUCGAGUCCGGGAGAGGUGAGUGGAAUUCCUGGUGUAGCGGUGAAAUGCGCAGAUAUCAGGAAGAACACCCGUGGCGAAAGCGGCUCUCUGGGACGGGACUGACGCUGAGACGCGAAAGCGUGGGGAGCGAACAGG